UGCCAGCCGCCGCGGUAAUACGGAGGAUCCAAGCGUUAUCCGGAAUUAUUGGGUUUAAAGCGCGCGUAGGCGGUUAGGUCAGUUGGGUGUGAAAGCCCCGGGCUCAACCUGGGAACUGCAUUCAAUACUGUCUGACUGGAGUAUGGGAGAGGGCAGUGGAAUUCCAUGUGUAGCGGUGAAAUGCGUAGAUAUGUGGAGGAACACCAGUGGCGAAGGCGACUGCCUGGCCCAAUACUGACGCUGAGGUGCGAAAGCGUGGGGAGCGAACAGGAUUAGAUA
rnacentral:rRNA from 1 species